GGGAAUUGGCCGUUUUCCCGACGUCUUGAUAGGAAUAGACUAAGUGGAGAAAUACCUCCAAGUCUGAAUAAUCUCACAAAUCUUCAAGAACUGUACUUGUCCAACAACAAAUUUACAGGUACUAUUCCAGUUUUAACCAGCUUGACCACUCUCUUCACAUUAGAUGUGAGCAAUAACCGAUUUACCUCCUCAAUCAUUCCAUCAUGGCUUUCUUCAAGCAACCUAACAACAU